AGCAAGGAGCCCCAUGCAGGACUUGAUGCCAAGACAUGGAGUUCAUGACCUGAGCCAAAGGCAGACACUUAACC